rnacentral:rRNA from 1 species
UACGGAGGGUGCAAGCAUUGAUCGGAAUUACUGGGCGUAAAGGGCGCGUAGGCGGCUGUUUAAGUCAGAUGUGAAAUUCCGGGGCUCAACCCCGGAGCUGCAUCCGAAACUGGAUAGCUAGAGUGUAGUUAGGGAGAACGGAAUUCCACGUGUAGCGGUGAAAUGCGUAGAUAUGUGGAAGAACACCGGUGGUGAAGACGGUUCUCUGGGCUAUAACUGACGCUGAGGCGCGAAAGCAUGGGGAGCAAACAGG